rnacentral:rRNA from 1 species
AAUCAACGCUGGCGGCGUGCCUAACACAUGCAAGUCGAACGCGAAAACCCCGCAAGGGGUUAGUAGCGUGGCAAACGGGUGAGUAACACGUGGGUGACCUGCCUUCGAGCGGGGGAUAACGUCCCGAAAGGGACGCUAAUACCGCAUGACAUCCUGCCUUUGAAGAGGUGGAGAUCAAAGCCGGGGAUCGCAAGACCUGGCACUUGAAGAGGGGCCCGCGCCUGAUUAGCUAGUUGGUGAGGUAAUGGCUCACCAAGGCAACGAUCAGUAUCCGGCCUGAGAGGGCGGACGGACACACUGGGACUGAGACACGGCCCAGACUCCUACGGGAGGCAGCAGUGGGAAUUGUUCGCAA